AUUGAACGCUGGCGGCAUGCCUAACACAUGCAAGUCGAACGAGUGGCGGACGGGUGAGUAAUGUCUGGGAAACUGCCUGAUGGAGGGGGAUAACUACUGGAAACGGUAGCUAAUACCGCAUACCAUCGGAUGUGCCCAGAUGGGAUUAGCUAGUAGGUGGGGUAAAGGCUCAACUAGGCGACGAUCCCUAGCUGGUCUGAGAGGAUGACCGGCCACACUGGAACUGAGACACGUUCCAGACUCCUACGGGAGGCAGCAGUGGGGAAUAUUGCACAAUUGGCGCAAGCCUUAUGGAGCCAUGCCGCGUGUAUGAAGAAGGCCUUCGGGUUGUAAAGUACUUUCAGCGGGGAGGCGUUACCUGCCGAAGAAGCACCGGCUAACUACGUGCCAGCAGCCGCGGUAAUAC
rnacentral:rRNA from 1 species